UGUUCGACACCCCACCUGUGAGGAACGUGGUCACACAAAUGUACCCACUGGUUUCCCUGGCACCAUUCUCCUUUUGAACAUGCGUGGCAACAACUUCCAUUAUCUACCUGGCAACAGUUUCACUAACAUCCCCGAGGUGGUGUCCCUCCACUUGGACGGCUGUAAGAUUCAUGACAUCGAGGGUGGAGCUUUCCAGGGCAUGAAAGGGCUGAUGUACCUCUACUUGUCAGACAACCAGCUUACUUCCUAGGACACAAACGUCUUCGCAGGUGCCCACGACAUCAUGUAUCUUCACCUAGAAGGCAACAGUCUUUCUCAGUUUCCAUCUUCAGAGAUGCUGGCCCACAUUCCCAAACUCCUCGAGCUGCAUCUUGAAAGAAACCUGAUGGUUAAACUAGAACCUGUAGGACUUCUUAAUCCAAUCCCGCAAUUGACAGGCCUCUAUCUUGCCAAUAACGCCAUCACAAACAUAGUUCCUAGAGCACUGGAUUCAGCUCCCAAUCUGGACGUUCUCCAUCUUGGAGAUAAUAAGCUGACAGAAGUGCCUAGUGAUGCGCUAGGCAAGGCACCUCUGUUGACCGAAGUCCAUUGGAUUGGUCCGAGAGCGUUUCGGGGUGUCGUUAAAGGUCUAAAACACUUGUAUAUUGAUAGAAUGGGUCUUCAGAAGUAGAUGAGUGCAAAGUCUCUGGCAUGGUUUGGUCCUGGCCUGGUGUCUUUAUCUCUGGAAGAGAAUCAGUUAGAAGAGUUACCUGACCUUUCAUCACUUACUGGCCUGCAGCACCUCACCCUGGGCAACAAUCCUUUAAUGUGGUUGUCGAAUGCAAGUCUGAAGGUUGAAGCUGUGUGUGGUUACCCUUCUGAGCUUCGGGGUCAGUACGUGAUCAAAGCUGAUGUUUUCAUAAACUGCUCUGGGGAAAACAAUGAGUCAUUCAAUAAAACAUCCAUAACGACCAAUGAAGAUAAACUCAACAAACCCUUCCAUAGCCCAACCAAAGCCAGACCAGCAGAAACUUAUCCUAAACCAGCAGAGACCAAGAUGACAGCAGGACUAUUACAAAACAGUGGACUCAAACCAGAUAAAAAGUUGAAAACAAGAAGGUUAAAAAAGAAAAACAGAAGAAAGAAGACCAAGCAUUGAGAAAUGAUAUGAGCCAGAGUUUUGUACUUCAGUAUGCUGAAUCUUCUACAAUAAACGUGUGCACAGUAGUUGCUAGUAACAGUAAGUUUAAACAUGUUGAUUUGACCAGGCUUAAAGAAGAUAAGGUUAUACAGAAAUGUAACAUACCUUUUUCUCUGAUCGACAUUAGUUAUGUCUUCCAUAUUUUGCCAGUAAACAAGUAAAACCGAACUUCUCUAUGUGAGAAAAAAUAUUGUUUAUUGUCCGAAAGUUAAUUUGCCCACUUGAAUUUAGUAAAUGCAGGUUUUAAGAUAAACUUUAAUAUCAGUUUUACAUUAUUUACAAUCUACAAACUACAUACAAUACUGGCUGAUUUGUCUAUCAAAAAAGUAAUUUCCUGUUCCAGAGGAUCAAGAGAAUAAUUUUUGUGGGUUUAGAAUCAAUUUUGCAUUCAUUUUUUUCCCACUAAAAUGAUUGAACUGUCUGGUUUCUUCGGUUCAGGACUGCACCAUGUGUAAUCUGUAGAAGGAGCCACAAGGGGGCUACAAAUCAUGUGAUGCAACAAACUGAGCAUCACUGUAUCUGUUGCUCUCCAAUUGAGUCCCAUGCAGUUAGGAGACACCAGUGAGGGAAGAGAGCAGGAGAUGAACAGCAGUCAGGACACUGAUGAGGGUGUUCUUAUCAUGUGGGUAGGGUCGAGCUGGUACCUUCCUAUUCUUAAAUAAAUAGUCACUUUCAGUCUGUUCACCACACAAAGCUGUUGCGUGGUUUCAGAAGAUUUGCAAUAAAUCACACAGGUUACUUUGUUUUAGUUUCAUGUUGGUUUUAUUCAUUCUUUUUUGGUAACUCC